AUACGGAGGAUGCAAGCGUUAUCCGGAAUCAUUGGGUUUAAAGGGUCCGUAGGCGGGCAAUUAAGUCAGGGGUGAAAGUUUGCGGCUCAACCGUAAAAUUGCCUUUGAUACUGGUUGUCUUGAAUUAGUGUGAAGUGGUUAGAAUGAGUAGUGUAGCGGUGAAAUGCAUAGAUAUUACUCAGAAUACCGAUUGCGAAGGCAGAUCACUAACACUAUAUUGACGCUGAUGGACGAAAGCGUGGGGAGCGAACAGGAUUAGAUACCCUGGUAGUCCACGCCGUAAACGAUGGAUACUAGCUGUUCGAUCUUCGGAUUGAGUGGCCAAGCGAAAGUGAUAAGUAUCCCACCUGGGGAGUACGUUCGCAAGAAUGAA
rnacentral:rRNA from 1 species